rnacentral:rRNA from 1 species
UGGUGGAGUGAUUUGUCUGGUUAAUUCCGUUAACGAACGAGACCUCAGCUUGCUAAAUAGUGAUCCGCUUUCUCACGAAAGCGCGAGACUUCUUAGAGGGACAUUUCGGAUUUACCGGAAGGAAGUUUGAGGCAAUAACA